rnacentral:rRNA from 1 species
UGAUGACGAGACGCUAAGGCGUUGAAGCAGUGUAUGUCAGACUUCCAAGAAAAGCUCGCAAUGUCACAAAUAAAAAGUGCCUGUACCAUAACCGACACAGGUGGGUAGGUAGAGUAUACUAAGGGGCGCGAGAUAACUCUCUCUAAGGAACUCGGCAAAAUGACUCCGUAACUUCGGGAGAAGGAGUGCCUUAUUUAUAAGGUUGCAAUAACAAGAUCCAAGCAACUGUUUAUCAAAAACACAGGUCUCCGCUAAGUCGUAAGACGAUGUAUGGGGGCUGACGCCUGCCCAGUGCCAGAAGGUUAAAGAAGUUGGUUAGUGUAUGCGAAGCUGAUGACUGAAGCCCUGGUGAACGGCGGCCGUAACGAUAACGGUCCUAAGGUAGCGAAAUUCCUUGUCGGGUAAGUUCCGACCCGCACGAAAGGCGUAAUGAUUUGGAUACUGUCUCGGAGAGAGGCUCGGUGAAAUAGACUUGUCUGUGAAGAUGCGGACUACCUGCACCAGGACAGAAAGACCCUAUGAAGCUUUACUGUAACUUGAAAUUGGAAUUGGACUUUGCUUGCGCAGUAUAGGUGGGAAGCGUUGAAAAUAUUCUUGCGGGAGUAUUGGAGCUAUCAGUGAGAUACCACUCUUGUAAUGUUAGAUUUCUAACUUUGAACCAUAAUCUGGUCAAAGAACAGUUUCAGGUGGGCAGUUUGACUGGGGCGGUCGCCUCCCAAAUGGUAACGGAGGCGUACAAAGGUUUCCUCUGAACGGAUAGAAAUCGUAUCUAGAGUGUAAAGGCAUAAGGAAGCUUGACUGUGAGACCUACAAGUCGAGCAGGGACGAAAGUCGGUCUUAGUGAUCUGACGGUACUGAGUGGAAAGGCCGUCACUCAACGGAUAAAAGUUACUCUAGGAUAACAGGCUGAUCUCCCCCAAGAGUUCACAUCGACGGGGAGGUUUGGCACCUCGAUGUCGGCUCAUCGCAUCCUGGGGCGGUAGUACGUCCCAAGGGUUGGGCUGUUCGCCCAUGAAAGCGGUACGCGAGCUGGGUUCAGAACGUCGUGAGACAGUUCGGUCCAUAUCCGGUGUAGGCGCUAGAAUAUUGAGAGGAGCCUUCUUUAGUACGAGAGGACCGAGAAGGACACACCGCUGGUGUACCAGUUAUCGUGCCAACGGUAAACGCUGGGUAGCUAUGUGUGGAGUGGAUAACCGCUGAAAGCAUCUAAGUGGGAAGCCCACCUCGAGAUGAGUAUUCU